GUUGCUUCUGAAAGAGUGCUAGCCACCUUAAGAGGACUGUGUAGUCCAGAGUUUGUGCUGUUCCUAAAACAACUAUCCAACCACAUUGAAUUCAGCACUUGUCCACAUCCUUGUCUAACGAUGGAAGCGGAAAGGGAUGACAGAGCAACUUUCCUGUCACAAUUAGAAGAUACGAACAUGGAUGAUGUACAGUGCAUAGACAGCCCAGGUAGAAUGAUUCAAGCGAUAUCAACACCUGUGCUGCACACUAUGG